GAUUAUUCACACGUAUUUCUUGCGAGUGUGGAACUUGGAUUUCGAUUUCCGGGACCGCAGGUGUACUCGCAGACCUGUUAGAAAAGCCGGUCUUGUUUCUGAUUAGUCGGCUGUUGGCGACGCCGUUUUAAUGAGGAAGCAUUCUUUGGCGAAUACCUCAGUAAAAUCUAUCGGUCCCGUGAUGGCUUAAAGCUGUAAAUAAAUGCAUGAUUGGUCAAGUUAACACGUGCAAUGGUUUUAAUAGUGUAAUAGUAGAUUAUUGGUAGUGUUAUAAAAAAAAAAAAAUACUUCUGACCGAGAUUUGAACCAUGGACCGCAGCGUGGUAGGCAGAUGUCUGUGUGAGCCACAUUACAUU
rnacentral:lncRNA from 1 species